GGCAGGGCCUGUGUCUUGGAUUGGUUCAGUUUAUAGUAUGCUACUUUACCGUAGGUAUGUAGGAGUUGCAUCAAGGUCGGGAGGGACGUGUUGACUUCCCUUAAUGUUAGAAGGAUGUCGUCAGCGAACAUAGACAGCUUGUAUUCGCUGGGACCUACUGAUAUGCCUUUAAUGUUUGGAUGGUGUCUAAUGAUAUACGCCAACGGCUCUAGGGAGAGGACGAACAAUAGCGGGGACAAGGGGCAUCCUUGUCUGGUGCCGUUAGAGAUGUUGAAUGGUGUGGACAGAAAGCCCGCAUUUGCAACUUGUGCUGUCGGGUUGUUGUAGAGAGCCAUGAUACCUGAGAUAAUGUGUGGUGUAAAGCCAAAUGCCUGAAGGACGUAUUGCAUGUAGUCCCAGUUGAGCCUGUCGAAGGCCUUCUCUGCGUCUAGUGCCAAGAGAAGACCUUCUGUGUGGUCAGUGUGGGCUUGUGUGAGGAUGUUUAAAAUCUUUCGGGUAUUAUCCGAACCUUGUCUAGUUUUAACGAAUCCGGAUUGGUCAUUAUGUGUCAGUUUUGGGAGGAUGUUGGAUAUACGGUUUGCUAGGAGCUUAGCAUAGAGCUUCACGUCUCCAUUGAGCAGGGAUAUAGGUCUGAAGUUAUG